rnacentral:rRNA from 1 species
UGGGGAAUAUUGCGCAAUGGGGGGAACCCUGACGCAGCCAUGCCGCGUGAAUGAAGAAGGCCUUCGGGUUGUAAAGUUCUUUCGGUAUUGAGGAAGGUUGAUGUGUUAAUAGCACAUCAAAUUGACGUUAAAUACAGAAGAAGCACCGGCUAACUCCGUGCCAGCAGCCGCGGUAAUACGGAGGGUGCGAGCGUUAAUCGGAAUAACUGGGCGUAAAGGGCACGCAGGCGGUUAUUUAAGUGAGGUGUGAAAGCCCUGGGCUUAACCUAGGAAUUGCAUUUCAGACUGGGUAACUAGAGUACUUUAGGGAGGGGUAGAAUUCCACGUGUAGCGGUGAAAUGCGUAGAGAUGUGGAGGAAUACCGAAGGCGAAGGCAGCCCCUUGGGAAUGUACUGACGCUCAUGUGCGAAAGCGUGGGGAGCAAACAGGAUUAGAUACCCUGGUAGUCCACGCUGUAAACGCUGUCGACUUGGGGAUUGGGCUUAGAGCUUGGUGCCCGUAGCUAACGUGAUAAAUCGACCGCCUGGGGAGUACGGCCGCAAGGUUA